CGGGAAAAGCUCAAAUUUGAAAUCUGGCAGUCUUUGAUUGUCCGAGUUGUAAUCUAGAGAAGUGUUACCCGCGUUGGACCGUGUACAAGUCUCCUGGAAUGGAGCGUCAUAGAGGGUGAGAAUCCCGUCUUUGACACGGACUCCCAAGGCUUUGUGGUGCGCUCUCAAA
rnacentral:rRNA from 1 species